rnacentral:rRNA from 1 species
UUGAGCUUGAUCCUGGCUCAGGACGAACGCUGGCGGCGUGCCUAAUACAUGCAAGUCGAGCGGAUCAAAGGGAGCUUGCUCCCUGAGAUUAGCGGCGGACGGGUGAGUAACACGUGGGCAACCUACCUAUAAGAUUGGGAUAACUCCGGGAAACCGGGGCUAAUACCGGGUAAUCCGUUUCUCCUCAUGGAGGAGCGGUAAAAGAUGGCUUCGGCUAUCACUUAUAGAUGGGCCCGCGGCGCAUUAGCUAGUUGGUAAGGUAAUGGCUUACCAAGGCGACGAUGCGUAGCCGACCUGAGAGGGUGAUCGGCCACACUGGGACUGAGACACGGCCCAGACUCCUACGGGAGGCAGCAGUAGGGAAUCUUCCGCAAUGGACGAAAGUCUGACGGAGCAACGCCGCGUGAGUGAUGAAGGUUUUCGGAUCGUAAAGCUCUGUUGUUAGGGAAGAACAAGUGCCGUUUGAAUAAGGCGGCACCUUGACGGUACCUACCAGAAGCCCG